CAGCCGCCGCGGUAAUACGUAGGUGGCGAGCGUUGUCCGGAAUUACUGGGUGUAAAGGGCGUGUAGGCGGGGAUGCAAGUCAGAUGUGAAAUACCGAGGCUUAACCUCGGGGCUGCAUCUGAAACUGUGUUUCUUGAGUGUCGGAGAGGAAAGCGGAAUUCCUGGUGUAGCGGUGAAAUGCGUAGAGAUCAGGAGGAACACCGGUGGCGAAGGCGGCUUUCUGGACGACAACUGACGCUGAGGCGCGAAAGCGUGGGGAGCAAACAGGAUUAGAUACCCUGGUAGUCCACGCCGUAAACGAUGGAUACUAGGUGUAGGAGGUAUCGACCCCUUCUGUGCCGGAGUUAACACAAUAAGUAUCCCACCUGGGGAGUACGGCCGCAAGGCUGAAACUCAAAGGAAUUGACGGGGGCCCGCACAAGCAGUGGAGUAUGUGGUUUAAUUCGAAGCAACGCGAAGAACCUUACCAGGGCUUGACAUACAGACGGAUGGUGUGGAAACACAUCAGACCUUCGGGACGUCUGUACAGGUGGUGCAUGGCC
rnacentral:rRNA from 1 species